UGUCGUAAUCGCAUAUUUAUU
ensembl:piRNA 21ur-11072 ncRNA